rnacentral:tRNA from 1 species
CAGGGGGACAAACAAUUGAUCAUGAUGUCUGAGAAUUAAUACUUAGGCCAUGGUCCUGUCACCUUAGGUCGAUCGGUACCUCAAUUAAAUCUAUAAACUAAUUCUUUUUGUGGAUUUGAAUCAGUUCCUAAACUUGUCUAGGUCACACCCAACAAGGGUACUCCUGGGCCAUUAGCUCAGGUGGUUAGAGCGCACCCCUGAUAAGGGUGAGGUCCCUGGUUCAAGUCCAGGAUGGCCCAUUCGGUGUUGGGGGUAUAGCUCAGUUGGUAGAGCGCCUGCUUUGCAAGCAGGAUGUCAGCGGUUCGAGUCCGCUUACCUCCACUGAUCGAUCUCCUGAUAACGAAGGCAAGGGGAAUUUUGUUUAGUGUGAUUUAGGCUUAGUUCAGCUCAUUGAACCUAGCUUCCUAUCAUUCCGAAUUCUUUAGUAUUACUAAUGGAUUAAGGUUGACAGGACGCUGGGCUCUCUACAUUUAAUAAUGUAGUGGAUGUUCAGCAGAACCUUGACAACUGCAUAGUAUUUAAGUCUGGAAAGAAUAAAGCAUCUCAUGGAUGAAUUGUUCUUUGGAUUGAGGAAAUUAUAUUUCUUUCAAUUCUAAGUAUCAAUUAAAUUCUUGAGCAAAUUAGAUAAGAACCUCUAUAGAACUUUUUUGUUUUUAAUCAAAAGAGUUUGGUUUAUAUAUCAUUUAGGAGCUUUAAAUCUCCUAAAUUAUAGAGAUUAAU